AAUGACACAUUGGUUAAAAUAAACAGGAGCUAAAGUCAACAGUGCAUUCCAGGCCUCAGAGUAUGCUCUAGAGUCUCAAGACCAGAAAGAGGAUAAACAGGAGGAAUAAAAGACAGUUGUCAUCCAAUGGCAUUGCCGUUAGUUGUGGGAAGCAGACACCACCUAGGCAUAAAUGGACUCCAGUUCUGACACAUCCUUUCAGCUCCUUGCCUUCCAGUGUGAUAUUAGUCCAGCAGCCAAACAUGAAAGGACAUUAAAGAGGGAAAGACAAAGUCUGUGACGUCCUGAGUCUCUGGACUGGGAGAACGUGUUGCAUGGGGUAGGACACAGCUGCAACAGCCUGAAAAGCUGUUUUGGCUGAGGUCCCAGAAGACCUGAGUGGUUAGUUGUGCAACUCCCCCAAAUUUUCACAGAGGCACGUCCACAGGAGAGCUGCAGAUGGAAGACAGAGACCUCCACGUAAAUAUGUCCAAGCUGGCCUGCUGAGGGAUGGUAGGCCAUGGAGAGGAAAACCAAGGCACCCAGAAGGACAUUCUGCCAACUGCAAGAUGUUUGAAUGAGACCAUUCUGUCAGCCAGUCACCAGCCACCCAAUCAGCUAAUAAUAGAUGCAUGCAUAGGCUUCAGCGAGAUCAGCUGAGUUGUCCCAGGCUAGAAGAACAACCCAGAUCACCCACGGAAUUAUGAGAACAAUAAAAGGUUGUUUUCUUAAGCCACUAAGAUUUAGGGAGGUUUGUUUAAAAAAAAAAAAUUGAAGAGCACCUAAAAUAUUCC